GAUGAACGCUGGCGGCGUGCCUAAUACAUGCAAGUCGAGCGAACAGACGAGGAGCUUGCUCCUUCGACGUUAGCGGCGGACGGGUGAGUAAAACGUAGAUAACCUACCUUUAAGACUGGGAUACAUUCGGGAAACCGGAGCUAAAACCGGAUAAUCUUUCGAACCGCAUGGUUCGCAAGUGAAAGAUGGCUUUCAUAUCACUUAUAGAUGGACCUGCGUCGUAUUAGCUAGUUGGUAAGGUAACGGCUUACCAAGGCAACGAUACGUAGCCGACCUGAGAGGGUGAUCGGCCACACUGGAACUGAGACACGGUCCAGACUCCUACGGGAGGCAGCAGUAGGGAAUCUUCCGCAAUGGGCGAAAGCCUGACGGAGCGACGCCGCGUGAGUGAUGAAGGUCUUCGGAUCGUAAAACUCUGUUAUUAGGGAAGAACAAACGUGUAAGUAACUGCGCACGUCGUGAGGGUACCUAAUCAGAAGAGCACGGGUAACUACGUG
rnacentral:rRNA from 1 species